UACGUAGGGUGCAAGCGUUUGUCCGGAAUUAUUGGGCGUAAAGAGCUCGUAGGCGGUUUGUUGCGUCGGCUGUGAAAACCUGAGGCUCAACCUCAGGCCUGCAGUCGAUACGAGCAGACUAGAGUGUUGCAGGGGAGACUGGAAUUCCUGGUGUAGCGGUGAAAUGCGCAGAUAUCAGGAGGAACACCGGUGGCGAAGGCGGCCAUCUGGACCGCAACUGACGCUGGAGGCGACGAAAGCGUGGGGAGCAAACAGG
rnacentral:rRNA from 1 species